UUAAAUCCAUCUCACCUACAGCAAGUCAUUCUGAUCAAUGUAUGAUGGUCCCUACGGUGUCUUACAAAAUAUGGUAAAAGAUCAAUAUGUGUCCUCCCUCUCCUUCACCACUUAUUGAAUUAUUACCUGUCCUUUAAAGUCCAAGUGAAAUACUACUGCCUCCAAGAGCCUUCCCUGAACUUACACCCUCUUCUCCAAGUCAGAAACCUUCUUCCAAUGGAAUUCAGCUAUACUGCAUGUUUCUCAGAAGAGUGUGGCCCUGGCUUCUCUUUCCUCCAAAUCCCCAUAAUGCCCUGAUGAUGGACAGGGCUCAUCAAAUGUCUUCUGAACGAAAGUGAUGCUCAGC